GGCUUACUUCAUACCAUUUGUGGCACUCCAAAUUAUGUUGCUCCAGAGGUUCUCAAUGAUAGAGGCUAUGACGGAGCAACUGCAGAUUUAUGGUCUUGUGGAGUCAUCCUAUUUGUGCUGCUUGCAGGUUACUUGCCCUUUGAGGAUUCUAAUAUUAUCA